rnacentral:snoRNA from 1 species
AGGUCAUUCAAAGAGGGCUCGUGGAACCGAGACCAAGAGCUCUGAAUGCUGUCACCAAAGAUUAAGAUUCUCCAGGGAAUUCCAUAGUCAUUCAAUAGUGCUAUGCGUCUUUCCUGGGGAGAUACAAGA